UGGGAAUACAUCUCCAAACUCCCGCACAACGGAUAUCCUCAAUCCUAGGGGCGUCAUCCUCACCCGCAACACAAUAGUAGCCAAGUAGGCUACGCAGCCUCUACUAAUUAACUGCCUAGCUCGAGAAGAGCUAAUCGUCAUCGCAAACAGCGAACUCUGGCAUCCCGGUACACAACCUCCGCCUGCCCUGGCUCUCUAAAAGUCACCGUUCGAUUCUUACAAUCGAUAGUGGCGAGAGUACUU
rnacentral:lncRNA from 1 species